AUAAGCGUCGGUAAGGUGAUAUGAACCGUUAUAACCGGCGAUUUCCGAAUGGGGAAACCCAGUGUGUUUCGACACACUAUCAUUAACUGAAUCCAUAGGUUAAUGAGGCGAACCGGGGGAACUGAAACAUCUAAGUACCCCGAGGAAAAGAAAUCAACCGAGAUUCCCCCAGUAGCGGCGAGCGAACGGGGAGCAGCCCAGAGCCUGAAUCAGUGUGUGUGUUAGUGGAAGCGUCUGGAAAGGCGCGCGAUACAGGGUGACAGCCCCGUACACAAAAAUGCACAUACUGUGAGCUCGAUGAGUAGGGCGGGACACGUGGUAUCCUGUCUGAAUAUGGGGGGACCAUCCUCCAAGGCUAAAUACUCCUGACUGACCGAUAGUGAACCAGUACCGUGAGGGAAAGGCGAAAAGAACCCCGGCGAGGGGAGUGAAAAAGAACCUGAAACCGUGUACGUACAAGCAGUGGGAGCCUCUUAAUGGGGUGACUGCGUACCUUUUGUAUAAUGGGUCAGCGACUUAUAUUCUGUAGCAAGGUUAACCGAAUAGGGGAGCCGAAGGGAAACCGAGUCUUAACUGGGCGUUAAGUUGCAGGGUAUAGACCCGAAACCCGGUGAUCUAGCCAUGGGCAGGUUGAAGGUUGGGUAACACUAACUGGAGGACCGAACCGACUAAUGUUGAAAAAUUAGCGGAUGACUUGUGGCUGGGGGUGAAAGGCCAAUCAAACCGGGAGAUAGCUGGUUCUCCCCGAAAGCUAUUUAGGUAGCGCCUCGUGAAUUCAUCUCCGGGGGUAGAGCACUGUUUCGGCAAGGGGGUCAUCCCGACUUACCAACCCGAUGCAAACUGCGAAUACCGGAGAAUGUUAUCACGGGAGACACACGGCGGGUGCUAACGUCCGU
rnacentral:rRNA from 1 species